AUUGAACGCUGGCGGCAGGCCUAACACAUGCAAGUCGAGCGGAAACGAGUUAUCUGAACCUUCGGGGAACGAUAACGGCGUCGAGCGGCGGACGGGUGAGUAAUGCCUAGGAAAUUGCCCUGAUGUGGGGGAUAACCAUUGGAAACGAUGGCUAAUACCGCAUGAUGCCUACGGGCCAAAGAGGGGGACCUUCGGGCCUCUCGCGUCAGGAUAUGCCUAGGUGGGAUUAGCUAGUUGGUGAGGUAAGGGCUCACCAAGGCGACGAUCCCUAGCUGGUCUGAGAGGAUGAUCAGCCACACUGGAACUGAGACACGGUCCAGACUCCUACGGGAGGCAGCAGUGGGGAAUAUUGCACAAUGGGCGCAAGCCUGAUGCAGCCAUGCCGCGUGUGUGAAGAAGGCCUUCGGGUUGUAAAGCACUUUCAGUCGUGAGGAAGGUAGUGUAGUUAAUAGCUGCAUUAUUUGACGUUAGCGACAGAAGAAGCACCGGCUAACUCCGUGCCAGCAGCCGCGGUAAUACGGAGGGUGCGAGCGUUAAUCGGAAUUACUGGGCGUAAAGCGCAUGCAGGUGGUUUGUUAAGUCAGAUGUGAAAGCCCGGGGCUCAACCUCGGAAUAGCAUUUGAAACUGGCAGACUAGAGUACUGUAGAGGGGGGUAGAAUUUCAGGUGUAGCGGUGAAAUGCGUAGAGAUCUGAAGGAAUACCGGUGGCGAAGGCGGCCCCCUGGACAGAUACUGACACUCAGAUGCGAAAGCGUGGGGAGCAAACAGGAUUAGAUACCCUGGUAGUCCACGCCGUAAACGAUGUCUACUUGGAGGUUGUGGCCUUGAGCCGUGGCUUUCGGAGCUAACGCGUUAAGUAGACCGCCUGGGGAGUACGGUCGCAAGAUUAAAACUCAAAUGAAUUGACGGGGGCCCGCACAAGCGGUGGAGCAUGUGGUUUAAUUCGAUGCAACGCGAAGAACCUUACCUACUCUUGACAUCCAGAGAACUUUCCAGAGAUGGAUUGGUGCCUUCGGGAACUCUGAGACAGGUGCUGCAUGGCUGUCGUCAGCUCGUGUUGUGAAAUGUUGGGUUAAGUCCCGCAACGAGCGCAACCCUUAUCCUUGUUUGCCAGCGAGUAAUGUCGGGAACUCCAGGGAGACUGCCGGUGAUAAACCGGAGGAAGGUGGGGACGACGUCAAGUCAUCAUGGCCCUUACGAGUAGGGCUACACACGUGCUACAAUGGCGCAUACAGAGGGCGGCCAACUUGCGAAAGUGAGCGAAUCCCAAAAAGUGCGUCGUAGUCCGGAUUGGAGUCUGCAACUCGACUCCAUGAAGUCGGAAUCGCUAGUAAUCGUGGAUCAGAAUGCCACGGUGAAUACGUUCCCGGGCCU
rnacentral:rRNA from 1 species